AGCGGAGGAAAAGAAACUAACAAGGAUUCCCCUAGUAACGGCGAGUGAAGCGGGAAGAGCUCAAGCUUAAAAUCUCCGUGCAAGUUUUGUGCGGCGAAUUGUAGUCUAUAGAAGCGUGGUCAGCAUGGGCACUUGGGGCAAGUUCCUUGGAAGAGGACAGCAUGGAGGGUGAUACUCCCGUUCAUUUCUGAGUUGCUCGUGCGUACGACCCGUUUUCUUUGAGUCGCGUUGUUUGGGAAUGCAGCGCAAAGUAGGUGGUAAAUUCCAUCUAAAGCUAAAUAUUGGUGCGAGACCGAUAGCGAACAAGUACCGUGAGGGAAAGAUGAAAAGAACUUUGAAAAGAGAGUUAAAGAGUACCUGAAACUGCUGAAAGGGAACCGAAUCGUUUCCAGUGUCUAUAAUCCGUGGUAUAUUUCAUUGGCGAGUGUGUGCGUGCGUGUGCUGUGGCAGCGGCUUUUUUGGCUGCGCUCGGCGUGUGUGCUGUGUGUGCUUGCUGGUGCUCUGUGCUGCGGUGGGACGUCAAGGUCAGUUCGUAUGCUGCGGGAAAUGGCUGCCGAGGAGGUAGGGCUUACGCUUGCGUUUGUCUGUUAUAUCUUGGUGGACGAGUAGUCGCGGUUGGGACUGAGGUGCCUACAACGUGCUUUUGAGUGGGUUUGUGUCUCCGUGUGCGCCGUGUGCGGAUAGCUUGCUAUGCGUGUGUGGUUGUGUGUGGAUUGAUGCGAGCUUUAACUUGUUGCCGUUCGGGACGUUGACGAAAUGGAGCGAUUCGACCCGU
rnacentral:rRNA from 1 species